rnacentral:lncRNA from 15 species
GCAUUUUCCUUGUUAUAUUGCAAUCCCUUGCUGCUUCAUCUCCCUAAACUAAAUAUGCAAUUUACAUACAUUAUACCACAGCCUGAUGGAGGUAGGACUCAGUGUUCCAUAUGCGCAGACAGAGCCACACGUAAACAUUAUGGUGCAUCCAGCUGUGAUGGAUGCAAGGGCUUCUUCAGGAGGAGCAUUCGCAACAACCACACUUACAACUGCAGGUUCAACAGGCAGUGUAUUGUGGACAAAGACAAAAGGAACCAGUGUCGUUACUGCAGACUGCAGAAGUGCUUCAAGGCUGGAAUGAGAAAAGAAGCUGUGCAGAAUGAGAGAGACUGCAUCAACAGCCACAGAGCCAAGGGACAGACAGUGGGUACUCUGUCUAUCAGUGUGCUGCUGCGGGCAGAGGCCAGUGUGCAACAGUUCCCAGCUCUGGUCUCACCUAGGAGUCAUGACAUCAACACCAAGCAGACAGCCUGCGUGGGAGUUGUGUUCGAGUCCAUGAAGCAGCAACUCCUCCUACUGGUGGAAUGGGCAAAACACAUCCCAGAGUUUUGUGGUCUCCCAAUAGAUGACAGGGUAACCCUGUUACAGACCCACUCCGCAGAACAUCUUAUCCUAGGGGCAGCAAGACGCUCUUUACCUUAUUUCAAUCUGAUUCUUCUAGGUAACGACUUUGUGAUCCCCCUGAGAAGUGCAGAAGUAGCGGUGUCCAGGGUGGCUUUCAGAAUCCAAGAGGAGCUGGUCAAACCUCUCAGAGAGUUGGACAUCACAGACAAAGAGUUUGCUUGCCUCAGAAGCAUUGUCUUCUUUGCCCCAGAGUGUCCUGGUUUGAAGAGUCCUCAGGUGGUUCGACAUCUGCGUUUCCAGGCCCAUCUGCUGCUAGAAGAAGCAACCUGUGAGAAGCGGGGAAGGUUUGGGGAGCUCCUGCUGAUCCUGCCUCCCCUGCAGAGUGUGGCCUUGCAGAUGGUGGAGACACUACACCUAGCACAGCUACUAGGCGAGGCCAGUAUGGACAACCUGCUGCAGGAGAUGCUGCUGGGGGAGGGAGCCAAAGCAGGACAGGGUAGGAGACACUGCUACAGGAUUUCCUUGCAAGAAAUUGACUUAAUCUAUACAGUAUCGGCUUGCCUGCUGCCCCCACAGACUGGCACUGAGGUGUACAGACAUGGCAAAGCUGCCAAAGAGCCCACGGCAUACCAGAGGCACCUGUCCACACCAAGAGACUCCUCAAGAAGCAACAACUUAACCAUGAAGUGGAGGAGUGUUAUUAGCUUCAGACAGAUCACAAACAUAUACACACACACAGCUACAUACAUACAAGAGUGA